CCUCCCUCUUGACUGAGGCUACCAUUUCCUAGGGAGUACUGGGCUGGGGAGUGUCUGUCGGAGGCGGAAGGUAGCGGCUAUUUGUCUUUCUUGGCAGAGAGUCUCAAAUAAAGAAAAGCCAUCAGAAGCCAAAACUUCCUGGGCUUGGUUCAAGACUCUAUCCCCACUGCACUGAAGCAAGUUUGCCAGGCCCUCCCUUGGGCGGCCGACGCACUGCCUCCAGCGCUCCCCGGCGGCGCCCCCUCCAUACUCUAUCUCCCGGCUUUCUGCUCCCAGCUCUCUGGGAGAAGAGUGACUCUUCUCUGUCCCCCGACCAACACGAGGCCCUUCUCUGCCGGCCUCUUGGGGAAGAAAGUUUGUUGCUAGUG